GGGGCUGUAGCUCAGUAACGGAUAGAGCAGCGGUUUCCUAAACCGCGUGUCGCCGGUUCGAGUCCGGCCAGCCCCG
rnacentral:tRNA from 1 species